rnacentral:tRNA from 1 species
GCCUGGGUAGCUCAGUCGGUUGAGCGUCUGACUUCAGCUCAGGUCAUGAUCUCACGGUUCGUGAGUUUGAGCCCCACUUCAGGCU